UGGGGAAUAUUGGACAAUGGGCGAAAGCCUGAUGGUGCGACGCCGCGUGAGGGAUGAAGGUCUUCGGAUUGUAAACCUCUGUCACCGGGGAAGAAACGCUUUGAGUUAAUAGUUCAAAGCCUGACUUAACCCGGAGAGGAAGCAGUGGCUAACUCUGUGCCAGCAGCCGCGGUAAUACAGAGACUGCAAGCGUUAUUCGGAUUCACUGGGCGUAAAGGGUGCGCAGGCGGCCGAGUGUGUGAGGCGUGAAAGCCCGAUGCUUAACAUCGGAAUUGCACCUCAAACUACACGGCUAGAGCAUUGGAGAGGGUAGCAGAAUUCAUGGUGUAGCAGUGAAAUGCGUAGAUAUCAUGAGGAAUACCAGAGGCGAAGGCGGCUACCUGGACAAUUGCUGACGCUCAGGCACGAAAGCGUGGGGAGCAAAAG
rnacentral:rRNA from 1 species